rnacentral:rRNA from 1 species
GGAAUUUUGGACAAUGGGCGCAAGCCUGAUCCAGCAAUGCCGCGUGAGUGAAGAAGGCCUUCGGGUUGUAAAGCUCUUUUGUCAGGGAAGAAACGGUCUGGGCUAAUACCCUGGGCUAAUGACGGUACCUGACGAAUAAGCACCGGCUAACUACGUGCCAGCAGCCGCGGUAAUACGUAGGGUGCAAGCGUUAAUCGGAAUUACUGGGCGUAAAGCGUGCGCAGGCGGUUGUGCAAGUCAGAUGUGAAAUCCCCGGGCUCAACCUGGGAAUUGCAUUUGUGACUGCACGGCUAGAGUGUGUCAGAGGGGGGUAGAAUUCCACGUGUAGCAGUGAAAUGCGUAGAUAUGUGGAGGAAUACCGAUGGCGAAGGCAGCCCCCUGGGAUAACACUGACGCUCAUGCACGAAAGCGUGGGGAGCAAAC